rnacentral:rRNA from 1 species
UACAUAAGGAGCAAGCGUUGUCCGGAAUCAUUGGGCGUAAAGAGCUCGUAGGCGGUAUCGAAAGUCAGCUGUGAAAUCACCAGGCUCAACCUGGUAGGGUCAGCUGAAACUUCGGUACUUGAGGGUAGAAGAGGAAAGCGGAAUUCCCGGUGUAGCGGUGAAAUGCGUAGAUAUCACGAGGAACUCCGAUUGCGCAGGCAGCUUACUAGGCCAUAACUGACGCUCAGGCACGAAGGCGUGGGGAUCAAACAGGAUUAGA